rnacentral:rRNA from 1 species
ACUAGUUGGUGGGGUAACGGCCUACCAAGGUGAUGAUACGUAGCCGAACUGAGAGGUUGAUCGGCCACAUUGGGACUGAGACACGGCCCAAACUCCUACGGGAGGCAGCAGUAGGGAAUCUUCCACAAUGGACGCAAGUCUGAUGGAGCAACGCCGCGUGAGUGAAGAAGGUCUUCGGAUCGUAAAACUCUGUUGUUAGAGAAGAACACGAGUGAGAGUAACUGUUCAUUCGAUGACGGUAUCUAACCAGCAAGUCACGGCUAACUACGUGCCAGCAGCCGCGGUAAUACGUAGGUGGCAAGCGUUGUCCGGAUUUAUUGGGCGUAAAGGGAACGCAGGCGGUCUUUUAAGUCUGAUGUGAAAGCCUUCGGCUUAACCGGAGUAGUGCAUUGGAAACUGGAAGACUUGAGUGCAGAAGAGGAGAGUGGAACUCCAUGUGUAGCGGUGAAAUGCGUAGAUAUAUGGAAGAACACCAGUGGCGAAAGCGGCUCUCUGGUCUGUAACUGACGCUGAGGUUCGAAAGCGUGGGUAGCAAACAGGAUUAGAUACCCUGGUAGUCCACGCCGUAAACGAUGAAUGCUAGGUGUUGGAGGGUUUCCGCCCUUCAGUGCCGCAGCUAACGCAAUAA